CUCUGUAGCACAGCGUGGUUAGGUUAGGCUCUGUAGCACAGCGUGGUUAGGUUAGGCUCUGUAGCACAGCGUGGUUAGGUUAGGCUCUGUAGCACAGCGUGGUUAGGUUAGGUUAGGCUCUGUAGCACAGCGUGGUUAGGUUAGGUUAGGCUCUGUAGCACAGCGUGGUUAGGUUAGGCUCUGUAGCACAGCGUGGUUAGGUUAGGCUCUGUAGCACAGCAUGGUUAGGUUAGGCUCUGUAGCACAGCGUGGUUAGGUUAGGCUCUGUAGCACAGCGUGGUUAGGUUAGGCUCUGUAGCACAGCGUGGUUAGGUUAGGUUAGGCUCUGUAGCACAGCAUGGUUAGGUUAGGCUCUGUAGCACAGCGUGGUUAGGUUAGGCUCUGUAGCACAGCGUGGUUAGGUUAGGUUAGGCUCUGUAGCACAGCGUGGUUAGGUUAGGCUCUGUAGCACAGCAUGGUUAGGUUAGGCUCUGUAGCACAGCGUGGUUAGGUUAGGCUCUGUAGCACAGCGUGGUUAGGUUAGGUUAGGCUCUGUAGCACAGCGUGGUUAGGUUAGGUUAGGCUCUGUAGCACAGCGUGGUUAGGUUAGGCUCUGUAGCACAGCGUGGUUAGGUUAGGCUCUGUAGCACAGCGUGGUUAGGUUAGGCUCUGUAGCACAGCAUGGUUAGGUUAGGCUCUGUAGCACAGCAUGGUUAGGUUAGGCUCUGUAGCACAGCGUGGUUAGGUUAGGCUCUGUAGCACAGCGUGGUUAGGUUAGGUUAGGCUCUGUAGCACAGCGUGGUUAGGUUAGGCUCUGUAGCACAGCGUGGUUAGGUUAGGCUCUGUAGCACAGCAUGGUUAGGUUAGGCUCUGUAGCACAGCGUGGUUAGGUUAGGCUCUGUAGCACAGCGUGGUUAGGUUAGGUUAGGCUCUGUAGCACAGCAUGGUUAGGUUAGGCUCUGUAGCACAGCGUGGUUAGGUUAGGCUCUGUAGCACAGCAUGGUUAGGUUAGGCUCUGUAGCACAGCGUGGUUAGGUUAGGCUCUGUAGCACAGCGUGGUUAGGUUAGGCUCUGUAGCACAGUGUGGUUAGGUUAGGUUAGGCUCUGUAGCACAGCAUGGUUAGGUUAGGCUCUGUAGCACAGCGUGGUUAGGUUAGGCUCUGUAGCACAGCGUGGUUAGGUUAGGUUAGGCUCUGUAGCACAGCAUGGUUAGGUUAGGCUCUGUAGCACAGCGUGGUUAGGUUAGGCUCUGUAGCACAGCGUGGUUAGGUUAGG